rnacentral:miRNA from 1 species
UUGGCCACCACACCUACCCCUU